rnacentral:rRNA from 1 species
CGUACACUCCUGCGGGAGGCAGCAGUGGGGAAUAUUGCACAAUGGGCGCAAGCCUGAUGCAGCCAUGCCGCGUGUAUGAAGAAGGCCUUCGGGUUGUAAAGUACUUUCAGCGGGGAGGAAGGCGAUAAGGUUAAUAACCUUGUUGAUUGACGUUACCCGCAGAAGAAGCACCGGCUAACUCCGUGCCAGCAGCCGCGGUAAUACGGAGGGUGCAAGCGUUAAUCGGAAUUACUGGGCGUAAAGCGCACGCAGGCGGUCUGUCAAGUCGGAUGUGAAAUCCCCGGGCUCAACCUGGGAACUGCAUUCGAAACUGGCAGGCUAGAGUCUUGUAGAGGGGGGUAGAAUUCCAGGUGUAGCGGUGAAAUGCGUAGAGAUCUGGAGGAAUACCGGUGGCGAAGGCGGCCCCCUGGACAAAGACUGACGCUCAGGUGCGAAAGCGUGGGGAGCAAACAGGAUUAGAAACCCUAGUAGUCCCAUG